rnacentral:rRNA from 1 species
GACGAACGCUGGCGGCGUGCCUAACACAUGCAAGUCGUGCGGUCUCGCCUUAAGCGAAAGGCCUUCGGGCUUUGAAGCGAAAGGCGAGAUAGCGGCGGACGGGUGAGUAACGCGUGGCUUAUCUGUCCCAGGGAGGGGGAUAACGUCUGGAAACGGGCGCUAAUACCCCAUAUGCCUAAAAGGUGAAAAGGAGAGAUCCGCCCUGGGGUGAGGCCGCGUCCUAUCAGCUCGUUGGUGAGGUAACGGCCCACCAAGGCUAUGACGGGUAGCCGGCCUGAGAGGGCGGCUGGCCACACUGGGAUUGAGAUACGGCCCAGACUCCUACGGGAGGCAGCAGUGGGGAAUAUUGGGCAAUGGGGGAAACCCUGACCCCAGCGACGCCGCGUGGAGGAAGGAGCCCUUCGGGGUGUAAACUCCUGUUGUAAGGGAAGAAGAUCUGACGGUACCUUACGAGGAAGCCCCGGCAAACUACGUG